rnacentral:rRNA from 1 species
UAUUUUAAAUUGUAAAUUGAUUAGAGUCUACCUAAAUAUUAUGAAUAUGUAUUUAAAAUUUAAAGGACUUGGCGGUGUCUUAGACUUUUUAGGGGAACCUGUUUUUUAAUCGAUGAUCCUCGUUGUACCUUACCUAUUUUUGUUUUUCAGUUUGUAUACCGUCGUCGUCAGUUAACUUUAAAGAAAAUAUUAGUUGUCUUUAAAAAUUUGAUUUUAAAUGUCAGAUCAAGGUGCAGCUUAUAAAUAGGUUAAUAUGGGUUACAGUUAUUAAUUUAUAUAGGAUAAUUUUAUGAAAUUAUUAUUUGAAAAAGGACUUAAAAGUAAUUUAAUUUAGAUAUAUUUGAUGAAUAUAGCUCUUGGGUGUGCACACACCGCCCGUCACCCUCA